GUAGGAGGAUGGCAAUGUGCAACUUGCAACUUGCAACUUGCGUCUUGCAACCUGCAAACUGAAAACUCCAGACAACGGACUUUGGACGGAUUAAGGAAUCAGAAUCUGAAAUAUGAAUCAAAAUCAGAAGCAGGCAGCGUAAUAGCAACAAUCAUCAUGAUUACCAUUAGCGGCAUCAUCAUUCCGAUACUGCUAAUCAUCAUUAUCAAUCAUAAGACAGAGAACACUGGGCAACAAAGUUAAGUUAACUCUGCAUAGAAGUAGCAGCAUUGAAUGCCACCAUGAAUCUAUGAUUUAUGAGUAUAAAAUAUUCAAAAUAAACAUGUCAUACAAUUUAAUGGCAAUCAUUAAGU